rnacentral:lncRNA from 1 species
UUGGCUCCAGAGAUAAUUCCUGUUACAUCAGUCGAAGCUUGUGUCAGUCCGAUAGAAGAGCCAGAAACGAAGAGCUUAACGGCACAAGAGCAUCCAAAACUACUGAGUCCCCCAACCGUGACAGGGUUGCCGAAGCUAUUAACUGCUGCAACAACGACUCCUAGGAAAAGGAGAAUGACCAGUGUUUUGGAUGCUGUUCUGGAAUCCACGAAGAUGCCAACUCCUGCUAUUACUGAAACUUCUGAUGACAAAAUUGAAGAUUUAAUGGAAGUAACCGCUCCAAGCGCUUCUCCUAUUCGCGUUGAAGCAGGACCUUUGGGAGCUAAACCAGUAGAGGUGACUUACAAUAUAUUGUUCGACAUGCUUCGGGGAAACAACUAUCAGAAGAGCAAAUUGUCGAAGUGCAUCAUUAUGCAAAGGACCUGAAAUACUCCCGAGGGUCCUUGGUAUAUGAAGGAAACGAUGAAGAUGACUUCCUUUACUGUCUCCCAGACAACAAGGAGAUAAAUGUCUGUCUGGAGAUGAUGGACAACAUGGGAUAUCCAAAGCCUGAGCUUGGCUUAUCUGCAAUGACGAAGGACCAACUUACAGACAACCUUGCUUAUAACAGCUUGAAGGUUUGUAUUUUUUUAUUUUUGCAUUUACUGAUGAGUUUCCGGCAAACGAUUUGUGGUAAUACUUAUUAAUAUUUGUAUGUAUAUUUUUUAUUUGUUUGUUGCCUUAUCCUCAGCAAAGCUUUGAAAGCCCAGAAGGAUGCAGAAGAUGAAAGCACUCAAAUAGCUUUUGGAAACCUUUGUUUGGAAGUUAUAAUGCUCAGGAAUGAAGCUCUUGAGAAGGAUAAAAUCCUGCUCUCCUUGGUUGAGAGGUUAAAGUCUAGCGAAGCUAGACUGUCCAUCCUUUCUGUUGGGGACUUGUUCUCAAAUGCUAUGAAUUAAGAACAAGGCAACACAAAAUGUUAAAGGUUAAUGCCCUUUGUCCUUCGAAGCAUUAUUUCUCUUGGGAUAUAAUGAUCUUAGACGAAGGUCAUGAAGAACAUACCUUCAUCAUUGCAAUAUAUGUUAAUAAAAGAGGAAGCAUAUGCAAUACAAGAAACAACAUUAACUAUCACAUAACAUUAUUAACUCAUCUUCAUUAUAUUAUCAUGGAAAGACAGAAACAAUAUUGAAUUACAUUUGUACCUUCGACUUUAAAGAAGGUGAAAGUACAAAUGUGACACACGAGCAAGUACAAAUCAGCGCAUCCAGUACGGGGGUACUGUUCAUCUAUUUAUAGGCACAGGAUGCAACCUGUGUGAAAUUACAUUCAUGCCCUUCAUAUUUACUAUUGACUUAUAGACAACCCAAUGGGGACUAGAUAGCCUUUUCCCCUUUAAGUCGGUUCCUUUUUUCGCCAUUGGGCCGAAGCUCCCUUGCGCAUAGCUUCGGAGCGACACCAACCUUCGUCACGACCAUGCUCUUCUCAUUGUAUAUGCUUUUAACCCGAGUCCGAAGGUACCUGUUCAUAUGUUACACUUGGAAGACAUUGUUAAAUCAUGUUUUUGAGGACCUUCGGAAGACAAAGGCCCCCAACACUUUCCGAAGCAGAUCAGAAAAUCAAGGAAUUUGAAAAGAAGCAAGAGAAAGACGCGAAGCGUAUUGAUGAUUUAAAAUAUGCACUUUAUAUUUAGGUAGGACUACACCGAUCCAAAGUGCAAGGAUUGGAGAAGAAGCUCGAUGUAGUGACUGAAAAAUUCAAUAUCGAGCAAGCAAAACACGAAAUUUUCGAUACUGGGCGAAUAAGAGUUCAGAAAAAUGUCGAUGAGCUUCAUGAAACAAGAGAGGAAUGCUACAAUGUCGCUAUGUACUGUUGCAAUAAACUGAAAAAUAGUUUUUACCAAAGUUGGCGCAUUCUCUUCGGAGCAAAAUUUUAUUCGUGGUGACCUUGACGGGGUUAUCUGAUGAAUAAGCGGCAAAGCCGAAGCUUUUAAUGAGAUCCUUAGUGAUAGAGGAGAUUUCGGUGCCUUUGCCGGUGCUCGAGGAGCCAUCUCGCUCCUUGAGAGAGCUGGCUGCGAGCACGCAAAAGCUGUUAUUCAACCAGAAUUUUUGGUCUCGGCUAACGACAUUAAGAACCCUUCAGCUAAAGCCACUGCUCUGAGCGGAAAAUUCUAUUCCGAAGUCUGGUUGAAAGGUGGCCGAAAGAUAGCCAAUGAAGCUAUCAGAAAAAAUGAGAAGGAGUCUCAUGCUGCCUUGGAAGAGGCGAGAAAGGCUGAAGCAGCUGCAAAGCAUGAAAGACUUAUAGGUAUGCUUGUCAUGAUUUAGCUUCGUAAAUUGUUUUAGCUUCGGAACUAACAAACACUUAUACUAUGGUGCAGCCAAACUUUAUCCCCAUCUGGAGCCAUAUGACCCUGAAGCCUAUCCAUCUCUGAAAGGGGCCCUUGAAGUAAUCAGAAUAGCUAACAAAGCCGUUGACGAAGCUGUAGAUAGGCUUCUAAAUGAAGUCGCUGAUAAAGUCCUAAAAGAGGAUGACUAGGCCUUAUUUAUUUCAACAGUAGAAUUUUUAUAUGUAGUUUCCCUUUGUAUGAAACAAUUAUCAACUAUAUGUAUAUUCAAUGAUGUAAUAUACUUCUUUAUGGAGCGUGAAAUCUUCGUGUGUACCGUUUUUGAGCUGCAAGCGAAAAAACACCUUCCCUUCUUUUCACGCUUCAUAAAUAUAUUGCAUGAGUACCAUUGUCGAAAGCAUAAAUCUUGCAUUAUUGAUACGUCGUUUCAUAAUUCUUUGCUAAAGAUAGUCUUAACAACCUCACAGGUUAGCCAGUAUGUUUGAAGUAGCAAUUUCUCUUCUUUUCCACUAUUUUCAUAUUAUGCAAGAUGAUGAAUUAUGCGACGCUAUGUAGUAUAGUAUGAUGAUAUGAUGCAACUGAUGUUACUGCCCGAAUGCUUCAUAAAAAAUAAGACUCUGCAUUCCCUUAGUAACGACUUUGGAGUCUCUUCACCUUUUACUUAGGUGGUAUUUUAGCUCUGCAUCCCCGUAGAAACGACUUUGGAGCUAAGCUCUGCAUCCCCUUAGGAACGACUUUGGAGCUUCUUCACUUUUUACUUAGGUGGUAUUUUAGCUCUACAUCCCCAUAGGAACGACUUUGGAGUUAAGCUCUGCAUCCCCUUAGGAACGACUUUGGAGCUUCUUCACCUUUUACUUAGGUGGUAUUUUAGCUCUGCAUCCCCAUAGAAACGACUUUGGAGCUAAGCUCUGCAUCCCCUUAGGAAUGACUUUUGAGCUUCUUCACCUUUUACUUAGGUGGCAUUUUAGCUCUGCAUCCUCGUAGGAACGACUUUGGAGCUUCGUGACUUUUCUGUUACACUCGAUGGUGUAACCCUAGAUUUAUUACAACAAACCGAAGGUUGUACCUUCUUAUAUUGUCUUUGGGUAAUAACAUAAAAGCAAGAGAAACAAAGAUUACAUUGAUCAUGUAUGAAAAAUUUCUUGAUUGAGCCCCUGUACUGCUUCAGUAAAUGUGUCUCGACUCUGGUACAGUGUUGUUGACUGUCCGAGCUUUAGAUUCUUCACGUACAUCACGACAUCACGCUGCCAUUGUACUUGGUGGUGCCCUUCUAGCUGUUGGUUAUGAGACGAGGUUGGAGCCAUGAGUGGUGGUGGUAGUAGCGAGACCCACGCAGCUUGUGAGUGGCUUGCUGAAACAACUGAUGCUGUGAGUUGUUGGUUGCCCACAUACUCGGGAUGUAUGGGGAAUAGCACGAAGCGGUAUGCAGGACCUGCUUCGGUUGAUUCUACCAUGCUUCGGCUUUAGCUAUUUCCUUCUGCUUCUGAAUAGUAACUUCGCAUGUCCUUGUUGUCUAUCCCUUAUCUUACCCACAAAAUAGGCAAAACAAUCUUCUUGGUUGGGAGCUGAAUCUUCCACCGAAGCUUCUACCUCCUCUACCUCUUGGAGCUGGUGGCCUGUAGGAACUUUGUUGUGCCCCUGAUGAUUGGGAGCUUUGCUGAUGGCCUUGAGUGUGAUUUCCCCUGUCAUCGCUUGAGUUGGGAUUAUGGAUUUUCCUGAUGUGCCUAGGGUGGAGUCUUCCUCUGAAGCCUCUGGUCAUCUCAGAGUAUCUAUAGGCUUCUUCCCUUCUCUGUCGAAAGUCAUUGUCAGCCUUGAUGUACUCGUCCAUCUUCUACAGAAGCUUCUCCAAAGUUUGUGGUGGCUUCCUAGCGUAAUACUGCGCUGUGGGUCCUAGUCGGAGCCCCUUGAUCAUAGCCUCAAUAACAAUCUCAUUUAGCACCGUUGGCACUUGGGCCCUGAGACACAGAAACCAUCGUACAUACACAUGUAGGUAUUCCUCAUGGUCCUAUGUGCAUUGGAACAGAGCUUGAGCAGUCGCUGGCUUCGUCUGGAAACCCUAGAAACUGGUUACCAGCAUGUCCUUCAGCUUCUGCCAUGACGUGAUUGUUCCCGGCCGGAGAGGAAUACCACGUUUGAGCCAUGCUCCUAACUGCCAUGACAAAGGACUUCGCCAUGAUGGCAGUGUUGCCACCAUAUGAUGAUAUGGUCGCCUCGUAGCUCAUAAGGAACUGCUUCGGAUCGGAAUGCCCGUCAUACAUGGGGAGUUGUGGUGGUUUGUAGGAUGGUGGCCAUGGGGUAGCCUGCAACUUUGCUGCUAGAAGAGAAGCAUCAUUAAAAGCAAAGUUACCCUGAUGCAAAUCAUCAUACCAUACAUCAUCAUAGCUUGGGCUUUCUUGACGAAACUCUCUCUACUGUGGCCUUCGUCCUUGCUCGUCUUGCGUGAUAUGGCACAUUUCUUCGGUAGCUUCAUCAAUCUUCUUCUAAAGUUUAGCUAGCCGAAGCUUCUUCUCUCUCUUUCUCUCCACUUGUUGGUGGAUGCCCUCUAGGUCUCUGAUCUCUUGGUCUAACUCCUCUUGUGGUGUUGGGCUGAUGGCCUUCAUUUUCUGGUUUCAGACUUCUUUGAGGGGGAGCCCUUCUUGGUUGAUGUCCAGCGGUGCAAGGGCACCCUCUGGCUCUAUUGCCCUCUUUGGUGGCAUGACGAAGGUGGGUGCUCGAGCUAUUGUCGAAGGUGGUCGUUUGAGUACACCGGAGGUGGGCGCCAAUGUUGGUCACUUGUUCUCAAAUGAUGUGAAUCAAGAACAAGGCAACAGAAUUGUUAAAGAUUAAGGACCUUCGUCCUUCGAAGCAUUAUCUCCUUUCAGGUAUAACGAUCUUCAUACGAAGGUCAUGAAGGGCAUACCUUCAUCAUUUAUUAUAAUCAUAAUCCAUAGAAGAAACAUGCUAUAUAUUCAUUCACUUAUUCAUGUAUCUAUUCUAUAACAUAUGCAUUCAUGAACAUUACACUGAUACCUUCGGCUUGAUCGAAGGUGUUGAGACGAAAGCUAGUACAAUCCUGCAUGAACAUUAUGAGGUGUUGUUCACCUAUUUAUAGGCGUGGGACGCAGCCUGGGUAAAAAUACAUUUAUGACCUUAACAUGUGCUCAUAAUUGUAACAUAAAUCAUUAGGGACUAGCUAGUAUUUUCCUCUUUGGCUCAGCAACAUGCUUGAUCUUUGUCACCACUUUAAGUCGAAGUUGUUGUUCUUUGGCUAUAGCUUCGGUAUUCAUCGUUGUCCUUUUCAGACUAUAUCUUCGUCUUAAGGACCUUUGGCGGAGAAGAAGAUUACCAUCAUGAAACUUUAUUUAUGACGAAGCUCCUAUAAUAUUCAAUAUUAUGCUAGAAACAAAUGGUUAAUCGUGUUUUUUAGAACCUUCAGAAGAGGAAGGCCCCCAACACUAUUGAUGAUAUGAUGCUGAUAAUGUUGCACUGAAGGUAUAUCAUAAUGAUAAAACAAAUUAUCUUGCCUUUGUCUAAAGGUCUUUUGGAUGUGACUUUGCAUUCUCUUAGGAACGACUUUGGAGUCUUUUCACCUUUACUAGGUGAUUCUCAUUUUGACUCUGCAUUCCCUUAGGAACGACUUCGGAGUCUUUUCAUCUUUACUUGGUGAUUUUUAUUCUGACUCUGCAUUCCCUUAGGAACGACUUCGGAGUCUUUUCACUUUUACUAUGUGAUUUUCAUUGAGUCUGCAUUUCCUUAGGAACGACUUUGGAGCCAUAUUUAUUUUCUAUUACAUUCAAUGGUGUAACCCUAGAAUUACAUGUACAAAUUGUAGAAGGGCAGGUUCCCUCUGUAUUUCGUGCGACGAAGGUAAACUUGGAAGAAAAUUGAACUAAAAGAAAGUAAAAAAAUAAAAAUUACAAUAUACUUUGAUCUUUUUGCCAUAUCUCCGGUUUCUUAAUCUAGCCCCUCAAGUGCUAGUAGAUAUGCUUAGACUCAGGGACCACAUUGUUUAUUGUUCGAGCUUCGGAUGGCUCCCUUCUAUCGUGUUGUGCCAUGUUUUGUGCCGAGAAUUGUGGUUGGCUUAUAGGUACUUGCUCAUAUGGUGGGGGUGCUAAAAUGAAUGCAGAGGCAUUGUCCAUUGAUUUGGUGAUGAAUUUGUCGAAGCAAUGGAGCCCAACAGUUUUGGCUUUGGGAUCUGAUGAUGAACAUGUUCUAGAAUAUAGGGUGAAUAAUAUGAAGAUGUCUGGAAAACCUCCUUCGGCUAGUUUUGUCGUGCUUCAGCAAGCUCCCUUUGUGUUUGAAUGGUCAUCUCACAAUUCUUUGUAAUGUGGCCCUUGUGGUUCCCAUAGAAGAGACAAAAAUCUUUCUUGGUUAAUAGUAGCAGACAUAGGAAUCAAAGACAACCUAGGCGAGAUUAUCAACUACUAACAACUAUAGAUGAGAUUUUCAAUUGAGAUCAAAUAUUUAGACUUGUGUGCUCCUUUCAAGAGGUAAGGCAGUCUAGGCCACAUCCUAUGCUGCAUGAGUGGUGAGUCCGCCUCUAUUGGUUAAGUAUUGUAUCUUCGAGUACCUUUGGGCCUCCUCCCUUCUUUGGCCAAAAUCAUUAUCUACACUGAUGUAUUCAUCCAUCUUUUGAAGCAUCUUUUCUUAUGGCUGGGGAGGCUUUCUGGCAAAGUAUUUGGCAGUUGGUCCUACAUGAAGCCCCUUGAUCAUUGCCUCAAUGUUGAUUUCAUUUUGCAUCGUUGGCGUUUGGGCUUGAAACCAAAGGAACCUUCGGACGAAGACAUGAAGAUACUUAUCAUUUCUUUACUGCACUAGAACAGGGCCUGAGCAGUGAUGGGCUUUGUUUGGAAGCCUUAAAAACUUGUAAGAAGCAUAUCCUUAAGCUUCUGCCAUGAAAUCACUUUGCCUACCCGAAGGGAAGAGUACCAUGUUUGAGCAACACUUCUGUCUGUCAUGCCAAAUGAUUUUGCCAUUACUAUUGUGUUGCCACCAUAUUAUGAUAUCGUGGCUUCAUAAAUCAAAAAUUGUUUUGGAUCUAAAUGUCCAUCAUGCAUUGGUAGUUGGGGUGGCUUGUACAAUGGUGGCCAUGGCAUGGCCUAUAGUUCUACAACCAACUGAGAAGUGUCAUCGUACAAGAAAUCAUCAUAGGUGUGGCCCUCGUGCCAAAGAUUCCUCUAAUGGUACUGUUGUUCUGGCUGCUCAAUCUGUUGUGUAAUGUUACACAUUUGUCCGGAUGCUUGUUCAAUCUGUUUCUAGAGCUGGGAAAGCCAAAUCAUCUUCUCUUUGCGCUUCUCCACUUGUUGCUGAAUGGUUUCGAGGUUGUAGAUCUCUUGAUCAAUAUCUUCGUCUUGUGGUGGUGAGUCGAUGACCUUUAUUUUAUAGCUUCGUGCCUCUCGGAGAAGUGCAUGUUCAUUUUGGUUCUGAUCUACGGGAGCGAGAAUAAAACCAACUAUUGUUGUCUUCUUUGGAGGCAUGAUGAAUCUCUUUGUGGUAAUCGUGAGCUCACACGAGGUGGGCGCCAAUGUUGUUCACUCGCUUUUGAUUCCUUUGGGAUAUCAAAAACAAGGCAACACUGUUAUGUCAAAAUUCAUCUUCAUCCCUUAAUCUAUUUUUCUCGAAGGAGAGACUGAUUAAAAGAUGAAUAGAUGAAGAAUUGAAAAAGAGCAAGCAAAGAACAUUAAAUGUAAAUGGUGCAUGAUAAAAAUAUGAAGCAUAUAAUUGAACUUUAUUGGGUAUUACUUCUUCUCUUACUUUAUUAUUUAACAGAAGAUUACAAAUAUACCUUUGCCUCCCUAGAGUUACAGUAUGAAGGUAAUAGAAAUACAACUUUGUAGGUAGAGCAAUUCAUUUUUCUCUGGUAAAAAAGGCACACCUAUGGGUGACAAUAGGAUCUAAAUUUUACACUAUAAAAUUUAAGGAUUAGAUCGGAUCCGAAUAGGAUUGCGCUCUAUUUCUAUUCAAUUUCGAACUAAAAAUAAUUUAGGGCCCUAAGAAAUUGUGUGGAAACAUUUGGAUUGUGAUCUAUUACCACCCCAAGACGUGUCCGAUGUAUGACACUAUUCCUCUAUUUAUUGAUGUGAGGUACGUUUUCGACAAAAUUACAAUUACGCAAUUAAACUUAUAAUAUUUGUACUAAUGAGUAAGCUAAGAGUAAUGUUGUCUUUUUCCUUGCAUAGUCUUGCUGACAAGUUUUGGUGACUUUUCAUAAAUCCAACUUGCUCAUCUGUCAUGCAUGCACGUCGUUAGUCAGAAGCUAGUAGCUUCGUCUUAGUUGUGAUGUUUGCACGAUAGCUCCAGCUAAAGGUGUCCUUUGGCAACCGUUCAUUUACAUUUAAAACAAGCUAAAGAGUAACAGUUAAGUUAAUGUUUGAGGACUUUCGGCCAAAUAAGGCCUCCAACAAUACCGGUUCAAGGUAAAAACCAGUAAAAAAAAGCUUCUCUUUAGUAUCAGACCAAGCAUCUAGGACUAAUGAUUGACGUCUUUAGUCUCGUUCAAUACUGGUUGUAAAACUAGUGCAAUUUCGGAUUCCCAACCGAUACUUAUCACCCUCCCUGCAGUAGUACCCUAAGCUCAAAUAUAUCUCUAGCCCUAUCAAACUGAGGUCCUAAGGCUGGCCUCACUAGGCGACUGGAAAAGCGACUGGAAUUUUUUUACAGUUUACUAAAGGGUGCAUUGGGCGACCCUACGCCUCACUCCACUCUCUCUCCUACCCUUCUGAUGCCAAAUACAACGCUCCAGCUCCCCUGUACUAAACCGAGCGGGCGGCUGCAUGCAUGCUAUUGACAGUAUAGAAAAGUGGGGGAAAAUAUAAUAUAAUAUAUGGUAGUUUGUCACACCCGGAUUUAAAGGAUAAAGCCGGGUGCGUCUCAUAUGUGCGCUAAGGAAGAACUUUACAUAUAAUGACAGAAUGUAUAUAGAUAAAUGCUAUAAAUAUCAUAAAUGUACUUAUUACAUAGCUGAAGUCUUACAAAAUAAAUGAUAAAAGUUUUUGAAAUUAUUUUUGGAUUAGAAAUUAAUUUCCUUAAAAGCUGAUUUGGUGACCCGGGAUCCCGGGAGGAUCGGAGGGGAUUGAGGGGGAAAUUAAUUGAUUUCCCCCUCAAUCCCCUCCAAUCCUCUCGGGAUCCCCUUGUCACCAAAUCAACCCUAACUGUUUAUCUAAUUAAUCGGUUCUCUGGAUUGCGCAUCAAAUACCGAAUAGUGCAAGGGCUAUCUACAAAAAUUCCCUAGACUCAGAUUCCUACCAGAGAGAACUGCGGGUUGAUUUAACAAAAUCCGAGGGUCUCUUUUAUAAAAUGUAGCCAUUGAAGAGGUAUCGGGAGAUCCUGACCGUCCGAUACGUCCCAACGGACCAGAUUAGAUCAAACCCGUCGCGAAGCGGUACACGCUCACGUCCGUUAGAUCGCGAUCCGACGGCGAACAAGUCAUCGGUGAAAGGGGGUUUUUAACUUCUAAUCUCGGACGUCCGCAAGAUCGAACGGCGCACCACAUGUUUGAACCCGAUCUAAUCUGGUUCAUUGCUUUACGGAUCUACGGCUGAUGUUGGUCUUCUACCCAGGCCACCGGCGAUGACGGCGGGUUGAGUCCCUGCGGCGAAUAUCACCGCCGGUGACAAUCAAUCCCCAGCACCGGUGAUUCAAUCGCACGAGAAAACACACCAAAACACGAUUCAAGGUCCUACGAACUCGAAUUCAGCCGACUCACCUACGUAUGACGGCGACGAGAGCACUGCCUCCGACCAGGAGCACCCCGCGGAGGUGUCGGGUUCACGGUGGUUAAUUGGCGCCUCCUCGCUCCCUAUGCACAGCAAGGUCCCCAUACGAGACCGACUCCACCCGAGGACCUCCCUCAGCUCCCUGAUGCGGUUAGCGUCACGUCUCCGCUCAACCCGACUGCGGUGGCUCUCAGCUCUCUCUUUCUCUUUCUCGGUUCACAGAAAAGGGCAGGGAGAUGGAGGAAUGCGCGGCGGCGCACGGGGUAUGGUGGCUGCUUUCGCGCGAGUUAACAGGGAGAGCCGUAGCACCUGUGGGUUUU